rnacentral:rRNA from 1 species
GUAUCAAUAGGCGGAGGAAGAGAAACCAACAGGGAUUACCUCAGUAACGGCGAGUGAAGCGGUAACAGCUCAAAUUUGAAAUCUGGCUCACGCCCGAGUUGUAAUUUGUAGAAGAUGCUUUGGGUGUAGCUCCGGUCUAAGUUCCUUGGAACAGGACGUCAUAGAGGGUGAGAAUCCCGUAUGUGACUGGUAGCUUUCGCCCGUGUAAAGCUCUUUCGACGAGUCGAGUUGUUUGGGAAUGCAGCCCAAAAUGGGAGGUAAAUCCCUUCUAAGGCUAAAUAUUGGCGAGAGACCGAUAGCGCACAAGUA